rnacentral:rRNA from 1 species
AUCCAGCGAACUUGGCAGAGAUGCCUUGGUGCCUUCGGAACGCUGAGACAGGUGCUGCAUGGCUGUCGUCAGCUCGUGUUGUGAAGUGUGGGUUAAGUCCCGNAACGAGCGCAACCCUUAUCCUUUGUUGCCAGCGAUUCGGUCGGGAACUCAAAGGAGACUGCCGGUGAUAAACCGGAGGAAGGUGGGGAUGACGUCAAGUCAUCAUGGCCCUUACGAGUAGGGCUACACACGUGCUACAAUGGCGCAUACAAAGAGAAGCGACCUCGCGAGAGCAAGCGGACCUCAUAAAGUGCGUCGUAGUCCGGAUCGGAGUCUGCAACUCGACUCCGUGAAGUCGGAAUCGCUAGUAAUCGUGGAUCAGAAUGCCACGGUGAAUACGUUCCCGGGCCUUGUACACACCGCCCGUCACACCAUGGGAGUGGGUUGCAAAAGAAGUAGGUAGCUUAACCUUCGGGAGGGCGCUUACCACUUUGUGAUUCAUGACUGGGGUGAAGUCGUAACAAGGUAAGCGUAGCGAG